GACCAAUGUAGGAGGCAACGAGAAGAACUAAUGAACUUUGAUUGGACGACCUGGAGGUGCUGUGUGUCAGGAUGGGGCCAGUGAUGGCAAACGUCUUCUUGCCAGAGACAAGUAGAUAUGCAUCGGCUUGACCUUCCAAGGUAUAGAGAUGGAGGCCCCAGCCACAUGUGGACUGACCUGAGAGGAGAUGUCCAUGAUGCCUCUGUAUGAUUCCUCUUUCAGCUGCUUGCUGCCUGGCACUGCCUGGUCCCCUGUUGUCACAUAUAAAAGCAAAAUACUGUGACACUGAAAUCUGAAAUAAAAACUUCUAUUCUGUA